UACGUAGGGGGCUAGCGUUGUCCGGAAUCAUUGGGCGUAAAGCGCGUGUAGGCGGCCCGGUAAGUCCGCUGUGAAAGUCGGGGGCUCAACCCUCGAAUGCCGGUGGAUACUGUCGGGCUCGAGUGCGGAAGAGGCGAGUGGAAUUCCCGGUGUAGUGGUGGAAUGCGUAGAUAUCGGGAGGAACACCAGUGGCGAAGGCGGUUGCCUGGGGCUUUGCUGACGCUGAUGCGCGAAAGCGUGGGGAGCGAUCCGG
rnacentral:rRNA from 1 species